UGGCCUUUAUUAGUAAUAAAAGUCAUAGCUGUUUUCCCAACCCCCUUCAUCAUUCCUUGGUUUUAUUUCUCACUUUGUUUAGAACCCAAGCAAAGAAGAGGUGUGAUAUUUAUGGGAACCUCUUGGAGACUUCAGCAUUGGAUGCACGGACCAGAAUGGUGAAAACCAAAAAUCAAAGGCUUGAAAUAAGGGGAAUCAAAAUACACCCUGGAAAGACUUUUGAGAACCCUGGUGGAAAGAGACGCUGGGAGUAAGGGUGCUAUACCAUGACAAAGAACCUUUGUUCAACUUGGAAUUAUCGAAGCUGGAAACCAAGAGGUUUUAAUAAACUCCAUGGGAGGGAAAAAAAAAAAAAAAAGAUAUGACCUGGUGAGUAAGGCUGCUACAGUUGUAGAUUUCUAAAGCAUUCUAGCUGAAGGGGCUGUUUCUGAAGUGAUGAGGCCUACAUUAGAGACUUUCUUCCCCAAAAUUGUAAGUGGAAGAGUACCAGCAUUAAUCUGUAAAGGAGAGAUUUCUGGAAUCAAGUUCACAGGCUAAGAAUUCUGAAAAACUAGCAUUGGCUGACAGUCAGUGAGGCUGAAGCCAGAAUGUUCUCCAUUUAUCCUCUUUCCUCUAGAUACUAUUGAGUUUC
rnacentral:lncRNA from 1 species